rnacentral:rRNA from 1 species
CAGCCGCCGCGGGAAAACGUAGGGUGCAAGCGUUGUCCGGAAUUAUUGGGCGUAAAGAGCUCGUAGGCGGUUUGUCGCGUCUGCUGUGAAAUCCCGAGGCUCAACCUCGGGCUUGCAGUGGGUACGGGCAGACUAGAGUGCGGUAGGGGAGAUUGGAAUUCCUGGUGUAGCGGUGGAAUGAGCAGAUAUCAGGAGGAACACCGAUGGCGAAGGCAGAUCUCUGGGCCGUAACUGACGCUGAGGAGCGAAAGCGUGGGGAGCGAACAGGAUUAGAUACCCCAGUAGUCCCUGUCUCUUAUAC